GCGCGGGUGGCGGAAUUGGUAGACGCGCUAGCUUGAGGUGCUAGUGGCCACAUAUACGGUCGUGAGGGUUCAAGUCCCUUCCUGCGCA
rnacentral:tRNA from 1 species